rnacentral:snRNA from 1 species
GUGCUUGCUUCGGCAGCACAUAUACUAAUAUUGGAACAAUACAGAGAAGAUUAGCAUGGCCCCUGCACAAGGAUGACACGCAAAUUCGUGAAACGUUCCAUAUUAAA